UCUUGAUCCUGACCCAAAGUCAAGUUUCUGCAGCCAAAGACAGAAUCAUCAGAGGCCAGCUCAGCUCGCUCCUGCCUGCCCCCAGAUAAAGGGAGCGAGAAGGACAGGAGGUCUGGGGGGCGCCCAGGUGAAACGAUGCUGCGUUUCUAAUGAGCCCCCAGGGGAGACAAUGCUACUUACCCUCAGGUCACAGCUCCAGGAGCAAGAGCCUCAUGUCAGACGGCUUUGAACACAGAAUGUCGCAGGAACCACAAAUGGGGACACGGGUUCGAGCCCUGAUCCGGGAAGAUCCCACAUGCCGCGGAGCAACUAAGCCUGUGCGCCACAACUACUGAGCCCGCGCGCCACAACUACUGAGCCCACGUGCCACAACUACUGAAGCCCGCGCGCCUAGAGCCCGUGCUCCGCAACAAGAGAAGCCACCUCAAUGAGAAGCCUGCACACCGCAAUGAAGAGUAGCCCCUGCUCGCUGCAACUAGAGAAAGCCCACGCACAGCAA